rnacentral:snRNA from 1 species
GGGCUUGCUUCUGCAGUCCGCAUACUAAAACUGGAGCAAUAUAGGGUUAUCGUGGUCCCUGUGCAAUGAGGACAUGUAUAUUCGUGAAGUAUUCCAUAUGUGG